rnacentral:lncRNA from 1 species
CGCCAUCUUGAAUUGAGUGUCGUGUGCAGCUUGUGCACACGGCCCCCCACGCUGAGGUCCGCGCGCCGCCAUGUUGCACCAGCACCUGUGCUCUGAAGGGACGCGUGUGAGGCCUCUGCACGUGGGAGCCUGUGAGCCAGUGACACCAGACGAAGCACGAAGGAAAAGAACAAGGAAAGAGAUCUCCACGUUAACAGAUUCUUAACUGGCUGGUGUGAAGAGUCAUUCCAAGUGUCACAGUAUUUCCCCCACUCAAACCAGAAGAAGUAGAAAGAAACGGUGGUCUAUUAAUAAAGAAAAGACCUGUAAUUUAAGUACAAGAUAGAGGUGGAAGGAAAUGAGCGUUUCUCUUUUGAAUUAGAUACAGGCCACUGUUCCAGACAAAAAUCAGAAAAUACUUCCUUAUCUUCACCAGCUGAAGAGGCUGAUGCUUCCAGAAAGGACAUAGUCCCCCCACAUGAAACAACCCCCACCUCACCUCCUUUAGUGCGUUCCCUUAACUAAUGAAGCAAAAGGAGAUGAAGAACCCUACAAGGUGGAUGCUUUUAUUAUCUAUUUUCGAGAUGAGGAAAUAAAUUUUAAGAUUUUCGUCUAGGCUGGUGAAGAGCCACAAUUUGAACACGGAAUGUCUGGUUCUAGCAUCC